AGGAUAAACGCUGGCGGCGUGCCUAACACAUGCAAGUCGAACGUCCUACGCAAGUAGGGAGUGGCGGACGGGUGAGUAACACGUGGGCAAUCUACCUUUCGGUGAGGAAUACCGGCGAGAAAUCGCCGACAAUACCGCAUACGCUUCGCAAGAAGCAAAGUCGCAAGACGCCGGAGGAGGAGCCUGCGCCCGAUUAGCUGGUUGGUGGAGUAAUGGUCUACCAAGGCGACGAUCGGUAGCUGGUCUGAGAGGAUGAUCAGCCACACUGGGAUUGAGAACGGCCCAGACUCCUACGGGGGACAGCAGUGAGGAAUUUUCGUCAAUGGGGGAAACCCUGAACGAGCAACGCCGCGUGCAGGAUGACGCUUCUCGGAGUGUAAACUGCUUUUCUCGGGGAAGAGAACGGACGGUACCCGAGGAAUCAGCCCCGGCUAACUACGUGCCAGCAGCCGC
rnacentral:rRNA from 1 species